rnacentral:rRNA from 1 species
CCAGACUCCUACGGGAGGCAGCAGUGGGGAAUAUUGCACAAUGGGCGCAAGCCUGAUGCAGCCAUGCCGCGUGUAUGAAGAAGGCCUUCGGGUUGUAAAGUACUUUCAGCGGGGAGGAAGGUGUUGUGGUUAAUAACCACAGCAAUUGACGUUACCCGCAGAAGAAGCACCGGCUAACUCCGUGCCAGCAGCCGCGGUAAUACGGAGGGUGCAAGCGUUAAUCGGAAUUACUGGGCGUAAAGCGCACGCAGGCGGUCUGUCAAGUCGGAUGUGAAAUCCCCGGGCUCAACCUGGGAACUGCAUUCGAAACUGGCAGGCU